UACAGAGGGGGCAAGCGUUAUUCGGAAUUACUGGGCGUAAAGCGUGCGCAGGCGGUUCGCUAAGACCGAUGUGAAAUCCCCCGGGCUUAACCUGGGAACUGCAUUGGUGACUGGCGGGCUAGAGUAUGGCAGAGGGGGGUAGAAUUCCACGUGUAGCAGUGAAAUGCGUAGAGAUGUGGAGGAAUACCGAUGGCGAAGGCAGCCCCCUGGGCCAAUACUGACGCUCAUGCACGAAAGCGUGGGGAGCAAACAGG
rnacentral:rRNA from 1 species